CCAGAGUGUGCUACAAUAUGAUCCUGC
rnacentral:piRNA from 1 species